rnacentral:rRNA from 1 species
AUGAACGCUAGCUACAGGCUUAACACAUGCAAGUCGAGGGGCAGCAUGGUCUUAGCUUGCUAAGGCCGAUGGCGACCGGCGCACGGGUGAGUAACACGUAUCCAACCUGCCGUCUACUCUUGGACAGCCUUCUGAAAGGAAGAUUAAUACAAGAUGGCAUCAUGAGUCCGCAUGUUCACAUGAUUAAAGGUAUUCCGGUAGACGAUGGGGAUGCGUUCCAUUAGAUAGUAGGCGGGGUAACGGCCCACCUAGUCUUCGAUGGAUAGGGGUUCUGAGAGGAAGGUCCCCCACAUUGGAACUGAGACACGGUCCAAACUCCUACGGGAGGCAGCAGUGAGGAAUAUUGGUCAAUGGGCGAGAGCCUGAACCAGCCAAGUAGCGUGAAGGAUGACUGCCCUAUGGGUUGUAAACUUCUUUUAUAAAGGAAUAAAGUCGGGUAUGGAUACCCGUUUGCAUGUACUUUAUGAAUAAGGAUCGGCUAACUCCGUGCCAGCAGCCGCGGUAAUACGGAGGAUCCGAGCGUUAUCCGGAUUUAUUGGGUUUAAAGGGAGCGUAGAUGGAUGUUUAAGUCAGUUGUGAAAGUUUGCGGCUCAACCGUAAAAUUGCAGUUGAUACUGGAUAUCUUGAGUGCAGUUGAGGCAGGCGGAAUUCGUGGUGUAGCGGUGAAAUGCUUAGAUAUCACGAGGAACUCCGAUUGCGAAGGCAGCCUGCUAAGCUGCAACUGACAUUGAGGCUCGAAAGUGUGGGUAUCAAACAGGAUUAGAUACCCUGGUAGUCCACACGGUAAACGAUGAAUACUCGCUGUUUGCGAUAUACAGCAAGCGGCCAAGCGAAAGCGUUAAGUAUUCCACCUGGGGAGUACGCCGGCAACGGUGAAACUCAAAGGAAUUGACGGGGGCCCGCACAAGCGGAGGAACAUGUGGUUUAAUUCGAUGAUACGCGAGGAACCUUACCCGGACUUAAAUUGCAGAUGAAUUACGGUGAAAGCCGUAAGCCGCAAGGCAUCUGUGAAGGUGCUGCAUGGUUGUCGUCAGCUCGUGCCGUGAGGUGUCGGCUUAAGUGCCAUAACGAGCGCAACCCUUGUUGUCAGUUACUAACAGGUUCCGCUGAGGACUCUGACAAGACUGCCAUCGUAAGAUGUGAGGAAGGUGGGGAUGACGUCAAAUCAGCACGGCCCUUACGUCCGGGGCUACACACGUGUUACAAUGGGGGGUACAGAGGGCCGCUACCACGCGAGUGGAUGCCAAUCCCCAAAACCUCUCUCAGUUCGGACUGGAGUCUGCAACCCGACUCCACGAAGCUGGAUUCGCUAGUAAUCGCGCAUCAGCCACGGCGCGGUGAAUACGUUCCCGGGCCUUGUACACACCGCCCGUCAAGCCAUGGGAGCCGGGGGUACCUGAAGUGCGUAACCGCGAGGAGCGCCCUAGGGUAAAACUGGUGACUGGGGCU